CGGGGUUCACCCCGGCACUGAAGGGAGACCUGGGGUACCAGUUGGGCCCCCCACAGGAGACCCCGGCCCCCGGCGGCGGAGAAAAUGGAGCCGGAGAGAGAGAAGAGGCCCAAGCGGGGACUUACUGGGACUGGGAAAGGCUUGGUUCCAGUGGGAAGCAGAGGACUCAAAGACUGUGGGAUGUCAAGUUCUCAAAUGUAUACAUACGCUGUUAGCAGUGGGUCCAAUGCACAGUUUAAAGGUAUUUCUUGGUAGGCUGCGGAACCCCACAUAACCUGAGGAGACCCAUGCUCCGGAGACGGGGUCCACGGGUGUCCAGGUCAGGGGCCUCCGUCUCAGAUUCCUGGGGAGGAGUCAGCAUGGCUGCCUGAGGGAGCUCCCCACAGUCACCACUCAGAGGCCAGCGCUUGGAUGGUGAGGCUGUUUCUUCAGUCUUGGGGGCCUGAGCACAUUACAUCUCCGUCCUCAUCAACUUCGGCCUCUGGCUUCAGCGUCCUGGAAGGGUUUGGAAUGGAUAUAAAUUAUAAGGAGUUAUGAACAUCAGAGCCUGCAAGAUUUCCAGCAGCCUUCCUACCUCUCUUUCCUUCCCCUAUCUUUGACUUCUGCAAUAGUAUUAUCUCUUCUGAUCAUAAAUAUGUAGAUAGGAAAGCUCCCUCAAGCCCAGGUUCCUCCUCAC